rnacentral:tRNA from 1 species
GGGCGUUUAGCUCAGUGGUAGAGCGUCCGCUUCACAUGCGGAAGGUCAGAGGUUCAAACCCUCUAACGCCCACCA